CAUAGCGUCUCACCUUUCCCAUCCAAUCUUGGGGAAGGAGAGGAUGUUGGCCUCCCAUGCCACCCCUGGCGUGGAUGGCUUAAAAUAGGAGCUUUGGGUUACUAGAUGCCGUGGCGAUUGGUGGUAUAAACAUCUCGUUGUGGGACAAGUAGCUUCAUUGGCUCGUAAGACCCUAUGUUAACCUUU
rnacentral:misc_RNA from 1 species